rnacentral:rRNA from 1 species
UACGUAGGGUGCGAGCGUUUAAUCGGAAUUACUGGGCGUAAAGCGCACGUAGGUGGCGACGUAAGUCGGGUGUGAAAGCCCCCGGGCUCAACCUGGGAACUGCGUCCGAUACUGGGAAGGCUUGAAUCCGGGAGAGGGAUGCGGAAUUCCAGGUGUAGCGGUGAAAUGCGUAGAUAUCUGGAGGAACACCGGUGGCGAAGGCGGCAUCCUGGACCGGCAUUGACGCUGAGGCGCGAAAGCCAGGGGAGCAAACGGG